rnacentral:tRNA from 1 species
GGGCGGUUAGCUCAGUUGGUUAGAGCGUUACAUUGACAUUGUAAAGGUCAGAGGUUCGACUCCUCUACCGCCCACCA